rnacentral:misc_RNA from 1 species
AAGUUGUUGAAGGCCAUAGACGGUAUAGUCUUGCUGGCACUUAUAUUUGUUCAUAUAUUAUGUAUCGCAGGUUAUUUUGUGAUUUUAAAACUAAUUUAGUGGUUUUCUUUGGCUUCAGAUAAAUGAUUUUGGAAUUCAUAUCCCUUCCAGUUAUAAGAUCCCAAUUUUUCUGUCUCGGUCAGAGGACUAAAAUUUGUGUAUGCCCCUAAAUCCAGACAGGGUUAUUGUUCUGGCUGUGAAACUAAUAUCAAAAUUAGAAUCCUUUUCUCAUUGAAAAUUGAUCAACUUGUUUUUGUUGGUUUUUGGAGCAGCUGUUAUUUCAACAGAGGAAGGUUCCUAACAUUUUUCCAAAUGUGUUUUUGACCCAAUCUCCUUUUUCUGAUGGUUGUUAUUACAUUAUUUACUAUCCUUUUUCUUUGUGAAGUCCUAUAUCUUAACUUUCUGUUACCUUUCAUGCUUCUUCAG